rnacentral:rRNA from 1 species
GAGUUUGAUCAUGGCUCAGGAUGAACGCUGGCGGCGUGCUUAACACAUGCAAGUCGAACGGAGCACCGGACACGGACUAUUUCGGUAGGGAGCGCGCGGAGGCUUAGUGGCGGACGGGUGAGUAACGCGUGGAUAACCUGCCGCAUACCGGGGGAUAACAGCUGGAAACAGCUGCUAAUACCGCAUAUGCCCGCAGUGCCGCAUGGCACAGCGGGGAAAAACUCCGGUGGUAUGCGAUGGGUCCGCGUCUGAUUAGGCAGUUGGCGGGGUAACGGCCCACCAAACCGACGAUCAGUAGCCGGCCUGAGAGGGCGGACGGCCACACUGGGACUGAGACACGGCCCAGACUCCUGCGGGAGGCAGCAGUGGGGAAUAUUGCACAAUGGGGGAAACCCUGAUGCAGCGACGCCGCGUGAAGGAGAAGUAUCUCGGUAUGUAAACUUCUAUCAGCAGGGAAGAAAACAGACGGUACCUGAUUAAGAAGCCCCGGCUAACUACGUGCCAGCAGCCGC